rnacentral:rRNA from 1 species
AAUAAGAACCAUGCUAUCUUGAACAAGCCUGAUCCUGUCUGAUCUUGGAAGCUAAGCAGGGUCAGGUCUGGUUAGUACUUAGAUGGGAGACCACCUAGGAAGACCAGAUGCUGCAGGUG